rnacentral:misc_RNA from 1 species
AAGUCGUAACAAGGUAACCGUAGGUGAACCUGCGGUUGGAUCAUUACCAAAAAAACUUUUUUGUAAUUUCUUCUUUUAUGAAGGGACAAAUUGGGGGUUAAACUUUACCGUUAUCGUUUGGCAAAUUGAGUAGCCUCUGCCGGGAGUCGUUUGAGAAGGUUUUCUCUUUUGAAAAACUGAUUAGACGCGGGUGGUAGUUCCCCACUGACACCCUACGCUUUCCACUAGAGGCGCGUUCUCUUGAACCGGUUUGCCAACGUUUUUCUUACUUAAACCUUUUAAUUAUAUGCGGCUAAGAUUUCUAUUCUUUUUUUUUUGUUCGGCUUUUUGACUAUGCGGCUGAAUUAAGCCAAAUGGGAGAAAAACAGGAUGAAAAAAAAGAUAAAUAAUUGUUGAUAAACAACUUUUGACAACGGAUCUCUUGGCUCUC